GACGAACGCUGGCGGCGUGCUUAACAAAUGCAAGUCGAACGGAAAGGCCCUGCUUUUGUGGGGUGCUCGAGUGGCGAACGGGUGAGUAACACGUGAGUAACCUGCCCUUGACUUUGGGAUAACUUCAGGAAACUGGGGCUAAUACCGGAUAGGAGCUCCUGCUGCAUGGUGGGGGUUGGAAAGUUUCGGCGGUUGGGGAUGGACUCGCGGCUUAUCAGCUUGUUGGUGGGGUAGUGGCUUACCAAGGCUUUGACGGGUAGCCGGCCUGAGAGGGUGACCGGCCACAUUGGGACUGAGAUACGGCCCAGACUCCUACGGGAGGCAGCAGUGGGGAAUAUUGCACAAUGGGCGGAAGCCUGAUGCAGCAACGCCGCGUGCGGGAUGACGGCCUUCGGGUUGUAAACCGCUUUCGCCUGUGACGAAGCGUGAGUGACGGUAAUGGGUAAAGAAGCACCGGCUAACUACGUG
rnacentral:rRNA from 1 species